rnacentral:rRNA from 1 species
CAGCAGCCACGGGAAUACGUAGGUGGCAAGCGUUGUCCGGAAUUAUUGGGCGUAAAGGGCUCGCAGGCGGUUUCUUAAGUCUGAUGUGAAAGCCCCCGGCUCAACCGGGGAGGGUCAUUGGAAACUGGGAAACUUGAGUGCAGAAGAGGAGAGUGGAAUUCCACGUGUAGCGGUGAAAUGCGUAGAGAUGUGGAGGAACACCAGUGGCGAAGGCGACUCUCUGGUCUGUAACUGACGCUGAGGAGCGAAAGCGUGGGUAGCGAACAGGAUUAGAUACCCGAGUAGUCCCUGUCUCUUAUAA